rnacentral:rRNA from 1 species
AUUCCAGCUCCAAUAGCGUAUAUUAAAGUUGUUGCGGUUAAAAAGCUCGUAGUUGGAUUUCUGUUGAGGACGACCGGUCCGCCCUCUGGGUGAGCAUCUGGCUCGGCCUUGGCAUCUUCUUGGUGAACGUAGCUGCACUUGACUGUGUGGUACGGUAACCAGGACUUUUACUUUGAGGAAAUUAGAGUGUUUCAAGCAGGCAUACGCCUUGAAUACAUUAGCAUGGAAUAAUAAGAUAGGACCUCGGUUCUAUUUUGUUGGUUUCUAGAGCUGAGGUAAUGAUUAAUAGGGAUAGUUGGGGGCAUUCGUAUUUAACUGUCAGAGGUGAAAUUCUUGGAUUUGUUAAAGACGAACUACUGCGAAGGCAUUUGCCAAGGAUGUUUUCAUUA